rnacentral:rRNA from 1 species
AACGAACGCUGGCGGCGUGCCUAACACAUGCAAGUCGAACGAAUGUAGCAAUACAUUAGUGGCGCACGGGUGAGUAACACGUGGGAAUCUGCCUCAUAGUUCGGAAUAACACCGGGAAACUGGUGCUAAUACCGGAUACGCCCUUCGGGGGAAAGUUUUUCGCUAUGAGAUGAGCCCGCGUUGGAUUAGCUAGUUGGUGAGGUAAUGGCUCACCAAGGCGACGAUCCAUAGCUGAUCUUAGAGGAUGAUCAGCCACACUGGGACUGAGACACGGCCCAGACUCCUACGGGAGGCAGCAGUGGGGAAUAUUGGACAAUGGGGGAAACCCUGAUCCAGCAACGCCGCGUGGAUGAUGAAGGUCUUCGGAUUGUAAAGUCCUUUUGGCGGGGACGAUGAUGACGGUACCCGCAGAAUAAGCUCCGGCUAACUUCGUGCCAGCAGCCGCCGUAA